AACGAACGCUGGCGGCAGGCUUAACACAUGCAAGUCGAGCGCCCCGCAAGGGGAGCGGCAGACGGGUGAGUAACGCGUGGGAACCUACCUGAAGGUACGGAAAAACUCCGGGAAACUGGAGCUAACACCGUAUGUGCCCAAAAGGGGAAAGAUUUAUCGCCUUCAGAUGGGCCCGCGUCAGAUUAGCUAGUUGGUGGGGUAAUGGCCCACCAAGGCGACGAUCUGUAGCUGGUCUGAGAGGAUGAUCAGCCACACUGGGACUGAGACACGGCCCAGACUCCUACGGGAGGCAGCAGUGGGGAAUAUUGGACAAUGGGCGCAAGCCUGAUCCAGCCAUGCCGCGUGAGUGAUGACGGCCUUAGGGUUGUAAAGCUCUUUCGACGGGGACGAUAAUGACGGUACCCGUAGAAGAAGCCCCGGCUAACUUCGUGCCAGCCGCCGCGGUAAUAC
rnacentral:rRNA from 1 species